rnacentral:lncRNA from 1 species
AGCCACCGACGGAUCCAUUUCGCCCAUUGCACUUGCCCUGAGGACGUAACUCAGACUAGUUGAAUUGACCUCGGGAUGCUACCCAGGCAGGCCCUUACAUUACAUGCUUCGGAACACAUCCAACAAGCACCCUUAUAACGCCUCUUAGUUAGUGCCCAAUGGAGAUCAACCCACCGAGUCAGCUAACGAGUGUACACAAUUCUCAAAUAACGUGUUAGGCC